rnacentral:lncRNA from 1 species
CUAACUUUGCACAUCCUAAGCUCAUGUUCUAUUCUAAAUCUAAAAUUAUAAGCCUCGUUAAGAGUCCACCUCGGUUCCUCCAUUAUGUUUAUACGGUGCAAAAAGAAAUCCACGUACUUUACAACAUAUAUGCCACAAUCGUCUGCGUUCCAUUGUUUUGGUCUAUUCACACAGACUUCGACUUUCGGCUUCGAUUUUGGCCACUUUGCUGUAGGAUUUGCCUGACGAAGCAGCAAAAUAAUUAACUCGACCUAUAAACCAGAAACCCAUUACUUAUAAGUCCAAAGUAGGAGAAACUACAUGUUUGUGUAAUGACAUGAAAAACAAGAAAUAUAUUUAUGAACUCACCACAACCGCAAAGAAGUUUUGGUAUAAUUGUGACAAUGGCAUUAAUGGUUUGUCAUCAUAAAGUGGGUCAAGUAGCAUUACUUUCCACUUGUUGACACUCCAAAUAAACAAGCAAAAAUGACUGUUGGUUUCGUUGAAGACUGGAACGAAUAUGUAAUCACACUCAUGUACUGGGGAACCAACUGUAGGAUUGAUGUAACUUCUGAGAAAUUUUC